rnacentral:rRNA from 1 species
GGUCCGAACCCACGAGCGUUGAAAAGCUCGGGGAUGACUUGUGGGUAGCGGUGAAAUUCCAAUCGAGCCCGGAGAUAGCUGGUUCUCCCCGAAAUAGCUUUAGGGCUAGCCUCAAGGUGAGAGAUACGGAGGUAGAGCACUGAAUGUCCUAGGGGGUAUUGCACCUACCGAAGACUAUCAAACUCCGAAUGCCGUCAUCUUAUACUUGGGAGUCAGACUGUGGGUGAUAAGAUUCAUAGUCGAAAGGGCAACAGCCCAGAUCGUCAGCUAAGGUCCCUAAAUGUAAGUUAAGUGGUAAAGGAUGUGGGAUUGCACAGACAACCAGGAUGUUGGCUUAGAAGCAGCCACUCAUUCAAAGAGUGCGUAAUAGCUCACUGGUCGAGUGAUCCUGCGCCGAAGAUUUCCGGGGCUAAAACUUACUACCGAAGCUACGGCAUCAGUAAUGAUGGGUAGGGGAGCUUCCCAUACGGGUUGAAGCAUGACCGUAAGGACAUGUGGACAGUAUGGGAGUGAGAAUGUUGGCAUGAGUAGCGAGAUGUGGGUGAGAAUCCCACAGGCCGUAAACCCAAGGUUUCCAGGGGAAGGUUCGGCCGCCCUGGGUUAGUCGGGACCUAAGCUGAGGCCGAAAGGCGUAGGUGAUGGACAACAGGUUGAUAUUCCUGUACUACCGAUAACCGUUUGAGAGA